rnacentral:rRNA from 1 species
UACAGAGGGUGCGAGCGUUGUUCGGAAUUAUUGGGCGUAAAGGGCGCGUAGGCGGCGCCACAAGUCACUUGUGAAAACUCUGGGCUCAACUCAGAGCCUGCAAGCGAAACUGUGGUGCUGGAGUAUGGGAGAGGUGCGUGGAAUUCCCGGUGUAGCGGUGAAAUGCGCAGAUAUCGGGAGGAACACCAAUGGCGAAGGCAGCUCGCUGGGACGUGACUGACGCUGAGACGCGAAAGCGUGGGGAGCAAACAGG